AUUUUCAUAGCUUACCGAGAGCACAACACUGAAGAUGUUGGGGCGGAUUAUUCCUGGAAAUA
rnacentral:tRNA from 1 species